UACGUAGGGAGCAAGCGUUGUUCGGAUUUACUGGGCGUAAAGGGCGCGUAGGCGGCAUGUUAAGUCAGCUGUGAAGUCUCCGAGCUUAACUCGGAACUGUCAGCUGAUACUGAUGUGCUUGAGUGCGGAAGGGGCAAUCGGAAUUCUUGGUGUAGCGGUGAAAUGCGUAGAUAUCAAGAGGAACACCUGAGGUGAAGACGGGUUGCUGGGCCGACACUGACGCUGAGUGCGCGAAAGCCAGGGGAGCAAACGGG
rnacentral:rRNA from 1 species